rnacentral:rRNA from 1 species
GAUGAACGCUGGCGGCGUGCCUAACACAUGCAAGUCGAGCGGCAGCGAGGGGUGCUUGCACCCUGUCGGCGAGCGGCGGACGGCUGAGUAACGCGUGGGAACGUGCCCCAAAGUGAGGAAUAACUGUCCGAAAGGGUAGCUAAUACCGCAUAUUAUCUUCGGAUCAAAGGAUUUAUCCGCUUUGGGAGCGGCUCGCGUCGGAUUAGGUAGUUGGUGAGGUAAUGGCUCACCAAGCCGACGAUCCGUAGCUGGUCUGAGAGGAUGACCAGCCAGACUGGAAGUGAGACACGGUCCAGACUCCUACGGGAGGCGGCAGUGAGGAAUCUUGCACAGUGGGCGGAAGCCUGAUGGAGCAACGCCGCGUGAAGGACGAAGGCCUUCGGGUUGUAAACUGCUUUUAUAAGUGAGGAAUAUGACGGUAACUUAUGAAUAAGGAUCGGCUAACUACGUG